CCAAUAGCGUAUAUUAAAGUUGUUGCAGUUAAAAAGCUCGUAGUUGAACUUCGGGGUCUACCCAUUGGUCAGGCUUAAUUGUCUGCACUGGUGAGAUGGAUCUCUACCUUCUGAGGAACUUUCAUGCCAUUUAUUUGGUGUGGUUGGAAAUCAGGACUGUUACUUUGAAAAAAUUAGAGUGUUUAAAGCAGGCUAUCGUCUGAAUACAUUAGCAUGGAAUAAUGAAAUAGGACGGACUGAUUCUAUUUCGUUGGUUUCUAGGAUCACCGUAAUGAUUAAUAGGGAUAGUUGGGGGCAUUAGUAUUCAAUUGUCAGAGGUGAAAUUCUUGGAUUUAUUGAAGACUAACUACUGCGAAAGCAUUUGCCAAGGAUGUUUUCAUUAAUCAAGAACGAAAGUUAGGGGAUCGAAGACGAUCAGAUACCGUCGUAGUCUUAACCAUAAACUAUGCCGACUAGGGAUCGGACGAAGUUAAUUUUAUAAUGACGCGUUCGGCACCUUACG
rnacentral:rRNA from 1 species